rnacentral:tRNA from 1 species
GUGGAUAUGGUGUAAUGGUAACAUGACAGCCUUCCCAUGGUGUAGUUUAAAAGUAAAACUAUUAAUGUAAGUGCAAGACUUACCAUCGUGACCAAAGCUGUGGUUGGGGGUUCGAAUCCCCUUAUCCACUCCA